rnacentral:lncRNA from 1 species
UCUUAACUUGACCAUCUAUUCUAUCAACUCGACUUCAAUUAUGAUGAACACAAACUAGUCUAUAAAUUUCGAAAUCAAAUCAGAGAAAAGCCUAGCUCUCAUCAACCUAACUGAGAACGGUACUCUAAUUAUACUUGCACAAAAAGGUGUAGGCAAAGGAAAUUGAGCCCUAUCUUUCGAGUCAAAUUGUAACAAUAAAAUGAAAGAAUUGUCCCUAAAUAUAUUCAAGAGGACUCGUGAAGAAUUUAGAUACCUAGAGAAACGUACCGUUGGAUCGAAGCUGAGUUUCGGAUUUGAAAUUUUCUUGAAAAGGU